CCUACGGGCGGCAGCAGUGGGGAAUAUUGGACAAUGGGGGGAACCCUGAUCCAGCCAUGCCGCGUGUGUGAAGAAGGCCUUAUGGUUGUAAAGCACUUUGAGCGAGGAGGAGGCUACUAGUAUUAAUACUACUGGAUAGUGGACGUUACCCGCGGAAUAAGCACCGGCUAACUCUGUGCCAGCAGCCGCGGUAAUACAGAGGGUGCGAGCGUUAAUCGGAUUUACUGGGCGUAAAGCGUGCGUAGGCGGCCAUUUAAGUCAAAUGUGAAAUCCCCGAGCUUAACUUGGGAAUUGCAUUCGAUACUGGAUGGCUGGAGUAUGGGAGAGGAUGGUAGAAUUCCAGGUGUAGCAGUGAAAUGCGUAGAGAUCUGGAGGAAUACCGAUGGCGAAGGCAGCCAUCUGGCCUAAUACUGACGCUGAGGUACGAAAGCAUGGGGAGCAAACAGGAUUAGAUACCCGUGUAGUC
rnacentral:rRNA from 1 species